CAGGGCGGUCCUAUACAUGCAGUCGAGCGGACCGACGGGAGCUUGCUCCCUUAGGUCAGCGGCGGACGGGUGAGUAACACGUGGGUAACCUGCCUGUAAGACUGGGAUAACUCCGGGAAACCGGGGCUAAUACCGGAUGCUUGAUUGAACCGCAUGGUUCAAUCAUAAAAGGUGGCUUUUAGCUACCACUUGCAGAUGGACCCGCGGCGCAUUAGCUAGUUGGUGAGGUAACGGCUCACCAAGGCGACGAUGCGUAGCCGACCUGAGAGGGUGAUCGGCCACACUGGGACUGAGACACGGCCCAGACUCCUACGGGAGGCAGCAGUAGGGAAUCUUCCGCAAUGGACGAAAGUCUGACGGAGCAACGCCGCGUGAGUGAUGAAGGUUUUCGGAUCGUAAAACUCUGUUGUUAGGGAAGAACAAGUACCGUUCGAAUAGGGCGGCACCUUGACGGUACCUAACCAGAAAGCCACGGCUAACUACGUGCCAGCAGCCGCGGUAAUACGUAGGUGGCAAGCGUUGUCCGGAAUUAUUGGGCGUAAAGCGCGCGCAGGCGGUUUCUUAAGUCUGAUGUGAAAGCCCCCGGCUCAACCGGGGAGGGUCAUUGGAAACUGGGGAACUUGAGUGCAGAAGAGGAGAGUGGAAUUCCACGUGUAGCGGUGAAAUGCGUAGAGAUGUGGAGGAACACCAGUGGCGAAGGCGACUCUCUGGUCUGUAACUGACGCUGAGGCGCGAAAGCGUGGGGAGCGAACAGGAUUAGAUACCCUGGUAGUCCACGCCGUAAACGAUGAGUGCUAAGUGUUAGAGGGUUUCCGCCCUUUAGUGCUGCAGCAAACGCAUUAAGCACUCCGCCUGGGGAGUACGGUCGCAAGACUGAAACUCAAAGGAAUUGACGGGGGCCCGCACAAGCGGUGGAGCAUGUGGUUUAAUUCGAAGCAACGCGAAGAACCUUACCAGGUCUUGACAUCCUCUGACAACCCUAGAGAUAGGGCUUCCCCUUCGGGGGCAGAGUGACAGGUGGUGCAUGGUUGUCGUCAGCUCGUGUCGUGAGAUGUUGGGUUAAGUCCCGCAACGAGCGCAACCCUUGAUCUUAGUUGCCAGCAUUCAGUUGGGCACUCUAAGGUGACUGCCGGUGACAAACCGGAGGAAGGUGGGGAUGACGUCAAAUCAUCAUGCCCCUUAUGACCUGGGCUACACACGUGCUACAAUGGGCAGAACAAAGGGCAGCGAAGCCGCGAGGCUAAGCCAAUCCCACAAAUCUGUUCUCAGUUCGGAUCGCAGUCUGCAACUCGACUGCGUGAAGCUGGAAUCGCUAGUAAUCGCGGAUCAGCAUGCCGCG
rnacentral:rRNA from 2 species